rnacentral:rRNA from 1 species
CACGUAGGGUGCGAGCGUUGUCCGGAAUUAUUGGGCGUAAAGAGCUCGUAGGCGGUGUGUCGCGUCGGCCGUGAAAACCUGCAGCUUAACUGUGGGCUUGCGGUCGAUACGGGCAUCACUGGAGUUCGGCAGGGGAGACUGGAAUUCCUGGUGUAGCGGUGAAAUGCGCAGAUAUCAGGAGGAACACCGGGUGGCGAAGGCGGGUCUCUGGGCCGAUACUG